rnacentral:rRNA from 1 species
UGUAGUCAUAUGCUUGUCUCAAAGCUUAAGCCAUGCAUGUCUAAGUUCAAGCAAAAAUAACGUGAAACCGCGAAUGGCUCAUUAAAUCAGUUAUGGUUCCUUAGAUCGUACUUACUACAUGGAUAACUGUGGUAAUUCUAGAGCUAAUACAUGCAAAGAGCUCUGACCUUCGGGAAAGAGUGCUUUUAUUAGAUCAAAGCCAAUCGGAUCUUCGGGUCCGUUUUGUUGGUGACUCUGAAUAACUUUGCUGAUCGCAUGGUCUCGUACCGGCGACGUAUCUUUCAAGUGUCUGCCUUAUCAACUGUCGAUGGUAGGUUAUGCGCCUACCAUGGUUGCAACGGGUAACGGGGAAUGGGGCGGGGGCGGCGGGCCGGGCGCGGGGCGCGGCGGGCGGA